rnacentral:rRNA from 1 species
GACGAACGCUGGCGGCGUGCUUAACACAUGCAAGUCGAACGGAAAGGCCCCCUUGUGGGGUACCCGAGUGGCGAACGGGUGAGUAACACGAGAGUAACCUACCCUUGACUUUGGGAUAACUUCAGGAAACUGGGGCGAAUACCGGAUAGGAGCUCCUGCUGCAUGGUGGGGGUUGGAAGGUUUCGGCGGUUGGGGUUGGACUCGCGGCUUAUCAGCUUGUUGGUGGGGUAGUGGCUCACCAAGGCGCUGACGGGUAGCCGGCCUGAGAGGGUGACCGGCCACAUUGGGACUGAGAUACGGCCCAGACUCCUACGGGAGGCAGCAGUGGGGAAUAUUGCACAAUGGGCGGAAGCCUGAUGCAGCAACGCCGCGUGCGGGAUGACGGCCUUCGGGUUGUAAACCGCUUUCGCCUGUGACGAAGCGUGAGUGACGGUAAUGGGUAAAGAAGCACCGGCUAACUACGUG